rnacentral:rRNA from 1 species
GACGAACGCUGGCGGCGUGCUUAACACAUGCAAGUCGAACGGUGAAGCGCCUUCCUUUUUGGUGGGUGUGGAUGAGUGGCGAACGGGUGAGUAACACGUGCGUAACCUGCCCCCUUCUUCUGGAUAACCGCAUGAAAGUGUGGCUAAUACGGGAUAUUCUGGGUCUGUCGCAUGAUGGGUCUGGGAAAGAUAUUGUUUCGGUGGGGGAUGGGCUCGCGGUCUUUCAGCUUGUUGGUGGGGUGAUGGCCUACCAAGGCGGUGACGGGUAGCCGGCCUGAGAGGGUGGACGGUCACACUGGGACUGAGGCACGGCCGAGACUGCUACGGGAGGCAGCAGUGGAGAAUAGUGCACAAUGGGCGCAAGUCUGAUGCAGCGACGCCGCGUGAGGGAUGGAGGCCUGCGGGUUGUGAACCUCUUUCGCCAGUGAAGCAGGCCUGCCUCGUUUGUGGGUGGGUUGACGGUAGCUGGAUAAGAAGCGCCGGCUAACUACGUG